CCCUUAGAUGUUCUGGGCCGCACGCGCGCUACACUGAUUCAUGCAACAAGUUUUGUCCUUGGCUGAUAGGCCUGGGUAAUCUUUGAACGUGAAUCGUGAUGGGGAUAGAUGAUUGCAAUUAUUCAUCUUCAACGAGGAAUUCCUAGUAAACGCAAGUCAUCAGCUUGCAUUGAUUACGUCCCUGCCCUUUGUACACACCGCCCGUCGCACCUACCGAUUGAAUGGUCCGGUGAAAUCUUCGGAUCUGAGAGAUGUCUGAUUAAUUUCGGACGCCUUUUGGAAAAGUUGCUUAAACCUUACCAUUUAGAGGAAGGUGAAGUCGUANCA
rnacentral:rRNA from 1 species